UACACCGCUUCUCCUACGAUCACCGAAGUUAAGCAACGUCGAUCCUGGUCAGUACUUAGGUGUGUGUCUGAUUGGGAAUACCAGAUGCUGUAAG